rnacentral:misc_RNA from 1 species
AACUUUUGACAACGGAUCACUUGGCUCUCGCAUCGAUGAAGAACGCAGCGAAAUGCGAUCAGUAAUGUGAAUUGCAGAAUUCAGUGAAUCAUCGAAUCUUUGAACGCACCUUGCACCCUUAGGCAUUCCGAAGGGUAUGCUCGUUUGAGUGUCAUUGUACUCUCACACUCCCGAUGCUUUUGGAUUGGGAGUGGUGGACUUGGGUGUUGCUGCUUUACUGUGGCUCACCUCAAAUGGAGUAGUGCAACUCUUGGUUGGACAUAGUACGGCGUGAUAAGUGUCUUCGCCGGCGCCUCAUUAGAGGGUGGCCGAUCGGGAGCUCUGUGCUUCAAACCGUCUUCGGACAACAUCUGACAACUUGACCUCAAAUCGAGUAGGACUACCCGCUGAACUUAAGCAUAUCAAUAAGCGGAGGCU